rnacentral:lncRNA from 1 species
GUUUUCUCCCAAAACCAAACCCGUCAAAUCAAUUUCUCCCAAAAUCAAAACCUCUCUUCCACUCCGGCAAAGAAAGACGGUGAAACUAGGCCUCUCGAAGCUCAGCAGUGAGGGUCAACAAUGAAGCUAGGUGGCGAGGCAACAAAGCUAGGAGCAGCGAGGCAAGGCGGUGAAGCUCGACGCAACGAAGCUAGGCACGGCGAGGCUGGGCUGCGAUGCUAGGCACAAAGAGGCUAGGGCUUGAAGAUUAAUCGCAACAGCAAAGAGGAAGAGGAAAGACUUGUGGAAGGAGCAACAAGUACUCAAAAGAAAGACAAUAAAGAAAGGCUGUUGCAAUUAGAGAAGAUGAUACAACAACUGAAAGAAAGAAGAUAAGAGCACAGAGACCCAAUUACAUACAAUAUAAAUGCAAUUCGCAUGCAUUCUGGACAACCUUAGACACCUACAGAACAAUAAUAAAAAGAAGAUUAGGGAAGGCUGAAGAAAUUUUGGGGAUUAUAUGUUCAGAUCUAUUAGAUCUGUGUUUAAAGUUAUAUGAAUUUAGGUUGACCGUUGCUGAUCAUGAUCAAAUUUUGAGCUU